UACAGAGGUCUCGAGCGUUAAUCGGAUUCAUUGGGCUUAAAGCGUACGUAGGCGGAUGUGCAGGCAUCGUGUGAAAUCCCCUGGCUCAACCAGGGAACUGCUCGGUGAACCGCACGUCUUGAGGCAAGUAGAGGCUGUCGGAACGAUAGGUGGAGCGGUGAAAUGCGUAGAUAUCUAUCGGAACGCCGAAGGUGAAAACAGGCAGCUGGGCUUGAUCUGACGCUGAGGUACGAAGGCGUGGGGAGCGAACGGG
rnacentral:rRNA from 1 species